rnacentral:rRNA from 1 species
ACGCACGCUGGCGGCGUGCUUAACCCCUGCAAGUCGAACGGAAAGGCCCUGCUUUUGUGGGGUGCUCGAGUGGCGAACGGGUGAGUAACACGUGAGUAACCUGCCCUUGACUUUGGGAUAACUUCAGGAAACUGGGGCUAAUACCGGAUAGGAGCUCCUGCUGCAUGGUGGGGGUUGGAAAGUUUCGGCGGUUGGGGAUGGACUCGCGGCUUAUCAGCUUGUUGGUGGGGUAGUGGCUUACCAAGGCUUUGACGGGUAGCCGGCCUGAGAGGGUGACCGGCCACAUUGGGACUGAGAUACGGCCCAGACUCCUACGGGAGGCAGCAGUGGGGAAUAUUGCACAAUGGGAGGAAGCCUGAUGCAGCAACGCCGCGUGCGGGAUGACGGCCUUCGGGUUGUAAACCGCUUUCGCCUGUGACGAAGCGUGAGUGACGGUAAUGGGUAAAGAAGCACCGGCUAACUACGUG